UUAACCAGGUUUUCCGAAGGAAAAAACUGGUUAUAAGAUUGGCGAAUGCGGGCGGGCUGGCUGGCGGGCUGGCUGGCUGGCUGGCGGGCUGGCGGAAUAAGCUUGUCCGGGCCAUAACUAUGUCGAUCAUUGUCAGAUUUUAAAAUCAUUUGGCACAUUUGUUCACCAUCAUUGGACGGUGUGUCGCGCGAAAUAAUUACGUCGAUAUCUCCAAGGUCAAGGUCACACUUUGAGUUCAAAGGUCAAAAAUGGCCAUAAAUGAGCUUGUCCUGGCCAUAACUAUGUCAUUCAUUGUGAGAUUUUAAAAUCAUUUGGCACAUUUGUUCACCAUCAUGGGACGGUGUGUCCCACGAAAGAAUCACGUCAAUAUCUCCAAUGUCAAGGUCGCCACGACUAAAAAUAGAUUUAAAAAAAAAAAAAAAAUUACAAAGGGGGUUAAUUUUUUUUGGUCAUUUCAAAAGUUCA